rnacentral:rRNA from 1 species
ACCAACAGGGAUUGCCCUAGUAACGGCGAGUGAAGCGGCAACAGCUCAAAUUUGAAAUCUGGCGCAAGCCCGAGUUGUAAUUUGUAGAGGAUGCUUCUGGGUAGCGGCCGGUCUAAGUUCCUUGGAACAGGACGUCACAGAGGGUGAGAAUCCCGUAUGUGAUCGGCGCGCGCCCUCUACGUAGCUCCUUCGACGAGUCGAGUUGUUUGGGAAUGCAGCUCUAAAUGGGAGGUAAAUUUCUUCUAAAGCUAAAUACUGGCCAGAGACCGAUAGCGCACAAGUAGAGUGAUCGAAAGAUGAAAAGCACUUUGGAAAGAGAGUUAAAAAGCACGUGAAAUUGUUGAAAGGGAAGCGCUUACAACCAGACUUGCGGGUGGUGUUCCGCCGGGCUUCUGCCCGGUCUACUCGCCGCUCGCAGGCCAUCAUCGUCUGGGGCCGCCGGAGAAACCGUCAGGAAUGUGGCUCCCUCGGGAGUGUUAUAGCCUGUCGACAUGCGGCGUGCCCCGGGCGAGGUCCGCGCACUGCAAGGAUGAUGGCGUAAUGGUUGUCAGCGGCCCGUCUUGAAACACGGACCAAGGAGUCUAACAUCUAUGCGAGUGUUCGGGUGUCAAACCCCUACGCGUAAUGAAAGUGAACGGAGGUGGGAGCUUCGGCGCACCAUCGACCGAUCCUGAUGUCCUCGGAUGGAUUUGAGUAAGAGCAUAGCUGUUGGGACCCGAAAGAUGGUGAACUAUGCCUGAAUAGGGUGAAGCCAGAGGAAACUCUGGUGGAGGCUCGCAGCGGUUCUGACGUGCAAAUCGAUCGUCAAAUUUGGGUAUAGGGGCGAAAGACUAAUCGAACCAU